GUAUCUGGAGAAAUCCCGUGCUUCCAGAUAAGGACACGCCGCACUUACAGUUGCCUACCACCUUUAACACAUCCUCUUCUGCGUGGUCACGUGAAGGUUGCCAGCAUGGGUGAAGAGCUCUGCUGGAGAGCAAGGAGGGAAGCUGCACGCAGUCACCUGCAAACACUGUAAAGAGCGUUCAAAGGUCCCCCUAUCAACUGUAGCCCAGCUGCACCAAGAGACCCUGCUCCUGAUGUCCUUGGCUCCUGCAGGCGCGCAAGAACCAGGCUGGCUGUGUGCUCCAGGUGGAGGAACAAAGGAGCCCUUCAUCUGCUCCUGCAGAGCAGGCUGGUGGCCAGCCCGUAUGUGGUGCUUGGUUCCCUCUGCUGCAGCAGGGAGGUGGGAGCAAGCGGAGGAUGAAAAAUCAGAGUAAUGGCUGAGGAGACGGUAUCCACUUGACUUUUCUUGCCCACGGCGUGAGUGAUUAAUCUAGCAAAGGCACUGCAGCGGAGUGAGACCACAAGGUUACACAGCCCGAAGCCUACGUGCUCCAGGAGCUGGAGGAUGCUGCUGGACCGGCAGCCGCAAGGUGCGUUCCUCCUCCCCUCGCCCUGCUCUGCCUUUGAUCUGCUUCCAGGAGGGGAAUUUUGUUCCCCGUUCCGAGCUGCUUCAACCCAGGCUGGCGGAGCAGCAGGAGCCCUGCUGUAACUAAUGAGAUGUUUGCUGCUUGCUGUCUGACACCGCGGUAGGUACUCUGUGCUGUCUGAGACCUGUGAUGAUAAACCAAGCCUCCCAGAGAUGGAGUGGCUUCCCAGUGAUACGGGACUGUUGUCCGCUCACUCUUAUCCGAUAGGAUCUCUCCUUCGAGCUCUCCUUAAGCCUCCUCUGUAGCGUAUCGAGCCACUGAGGUCUGAUCCCGCUGAGAAGCGGUGUAAACUGAGAGCAGAUCUGCCUGCCAGCAGUCUGCUUCGGGGGCAGAGCGGCACCGGGGCCUGCGGUAGGGCUGCUGGACAUUCAUGGAGAGCGUCUGCACUUUGCACUGUGUCUCUGGCAGGUGUUGGAGGGACUUUCCUACAGACAAACGUGAUUCCCCUCCUCGCUGCCCAAGGGCUGAGAACCCCCUGCGCAGAGCCAGCACUGCCCCUCCUCUGCCCGUAGCUGAUGCCGAAGGAUCUUGGGCUGUUUCCUCGGAUCCUGAACUACUGAUGCCUCCUUCGCGCCCUGCUCACCCCGUGACACCUGCUGCUGUCCCCGUGCCAGCGAGGGGAGAUUCCCAACCAACCCCCACGUCGUGCCGUCUGUUUACUGGAGGAAGCAAAGAGGAUUUUCAGCCCUCCCAUCUAGCAGUGGGUCGGAUGGCAGGGCAGAAACCGCCCCCAUCCUUGAGCCUGUAUCAUCUGUGCUUGGAGUGGCACGAAGAGAUGCAGUGGCUCUGCUGCCUUUCAGCAGCUGUACCUGGACACAGGCUCCUAGUUUCAAGCAGAAAGAAACAAUUCCUGCUCAGCUGUUUGAAGAACUGGACCAAACAUCUUCCUCUCCCGUGCUGA
rnacentral:lncRNA from 1 species